CCGCUAGGGGCGCAAUUUUGCUGAGAGGACAAUGUCCGACCCUUUGAACCUGAUUACGGAUAAUACCGGCGUAGGAAAGCGAUAG
rnacentral:ncRNA from 1 species